UACGGGGGGGGCAAGCGUUGUUCGGAAUUACUGGGCGUAAAGGGCUCGUAGGCGGCCAACUAAGUCGGAUGUGAAAUCCCCAGGCUUAACCUGGGAACUGCAUCCGAUACUGGAUGGCUUGAAUUCGGGAGAGGGAUGCAGAAUUCCAGGUGAAGCGGUGAAAUGCGUAGAUAUCUGGAGGAAUACCGGUGGCGAAGGCGGCAUCCUGGACCGACAUUGACGCUGAUGAGCGAAAGCUAGGGGAGCAAACGGG
rnacentral:rRNA from 1 species